rnacentral:rRNA from 1 species
UAAUACGGAGGGUGCAAGCGUUAUCCGGAAUCACUGGGUUUAAAGGGUGCGUAGGCGGCUUGGUAAGUCAGAGGUGAAAGCUUCCCGCUCAACGGGAGAACUGCCUUUGAUACUGCCAGGCUCGAAUUGGGUUGAGGCAGGCGGAAUGUGGCAUGUAGCGGUGAAAUGCUUAGAUAUGCCAUAGAACACCGAUUGCGAAGGCAGCCUGCCAAGCCUUGAUUGACGCUGAGGCACGAAAGCGUGGGGAGCGAACAGGAUUAGAUACCCUGGUAGUCCACGCCCUAAACGAUGUUUACUCGACGUCCGGCCCCUGCGGUCGUGCGUCCAAGCGAAAGCGUUAAGUAAACCACCUGGGGAGUACGUUCGCAAGAAUG